rnacentral:tRNA from 1 species
GGACUUGUGGCUCAGUGGUAGAGUAAAUGCCUAGAAUGUGUGAGGCACUAGGUUCGAUUCUUAGCACCA